rnacentral:rRNA from 1 species
UGGGGAAUAUUGCACAAUGGAGGGAACUCUGAUGCAGCGACGCCGCGUGAACGAAGAAGGCUUUCGAGUCGUAAAGUUCUUUUAGAUGGGAAGAUAAUGACGGUACCAUAAGAAAAAGCCCCGGCUAACUACGUGCCAGCAGCCGCGGUAAUACGUAGGGGGCUAGCGUUGUCCGGAAUCACUGGGCGUAAAGGGUUCGCAGGCGGAAAUGCAAGUCAGAUGUAAAAGGCAGUAGCUUAACUACUGUAAGCAUUUGAAACUGCAUAUCUUGAGAAGAGUAGAGGUAAGUGGAAUUUUUAGUGUAGCGGUGAAAUGCGUAGAUAUUAAAAAGAAUACCGGUGGCGAAGGCGACUUACUGGGCUCAUUCUGACGCUGAGGAACGAAAGCGUGGGUAGCAAACAGG